rnacentral:rRNA from 1 species
UGGGGAAUAUUGCACAAUGGGGGAAACCCUGAUGCAGCGACGCCGCGUGAACGAAGAAGGUAUUCGUAUCGUAAAGUUCUGUCCUAUGGGAAGAUAAUGACAGUACCAUAGAAGAAAGCUCCGGCUAAAUACGUGCCAGCAGCCGCGGUAAUACGUAUGGAGCGAGCGUUGUCCGGAAUUAUUGGGCGUAAAGGGUACGCAGGCGGUUUAAUAAGUCGAAUGUUAAAGAUCGGGGCUCAACCCCGUAAAGCAUUGGAAACUGAUAAACUUGAGUAGUGGAGAGGAAAGUGGAAUUCCUAGUGUAGUGGUGAAAUACGUAGAUAUUAGGAGGAAUACCAGUAGCGAAGGCGACUUGCUGGACACAAACUGACGCUGAGGUACGAAAGCGUGGGGAGCAAACAGG